rnacentral:rRNA from 1 species
GACGAACGCUGGCGGCGAGCUUAACACAUGCAAGUCGAACGGUAGGGCCCUUCGGGGUACACGAGUGGCGAACGGGUGAGUAACACGUGGGUGAUCUGCCCUGCACUUCGGGAUAAGCCUGGGAAACUGGGUCUAAUACCGGAUAGGACCACUGCCUGCAUGGGUGGUGGUGGAAAGCUUUUGCGGUGUGGGAUGGGCCCGCGGCCUAUCAGCUUGUUGGUGGGGUGAUGGCCUACCAAGGCGACGACGGGUAGCCGGCCUGAGAGGGUGACCGGCCACACUGGGACUGAGAUACGGCCCAGACUCCUACGGGAGGCAGCAGUGGGGAAUAUUGCACAAUGGGCGCAAGCCUGAUGCAGCGACGCCGCGUGAGGGAUGACGGCCUUCGGGUUGUAAACCUCUUUCAGCACCGACGAAGCGCAAGUGACGGUAGGUGCAGAAGAAGGACCGGCCAACUACGUGCCAGCCGCCGCGGUAA